ensembl:snoRNA SNORD116 Small nucleolar RNA SNORD116
AGAUUGAUGACGACAGCCUCAUAAAACCAUUCCUUAGGAAAUCUGAACAAAUCAGUGAAAAUUCAUGAGUCGUUCUCAUCGAGGCUGGGCCC